UCAUAAGCGGAGGAAAGAAACCAACAGGGAUUGCCCUAGUAACGGCGAGUGAAGCGGCAACAGCUCAAAUUUGAAAUCUGGCCCUUGGGUCCGAGUUGUAAUUUGUAGAGGAUGCUUUUGGUACGGCGCCUUCCGAGUUCCCUGGAACGGGACGCCAUAGAGGGUGAGAGCCCCGUACGGUUGGAUGCCUAGCCUCUGUAAAGCUCUUUCGACGAGUCGAGUAGUUUGGGAAUGCUGCUCUAAAUGGGAGGUAAAUUUCUUCUAAAGCUAAAUACCGGCCAGAGACCGAUAGCGCACAAGUAGAGUGAUCGAAAGAUGAAAAGCACUUUGAAAAGAGGGUUAAAUAGCACGUGAAAUUGUUGAAAGGGAAGCGCUUAUGACCAGACUUUUACCUGGCGGAUCAUCCGGCGUUCUCGCCGGUGCACUUCGCUAGGUUGAGGCCAGCAUCGAUUUUUGUAGGGGGAUAAAGACUUCGGGAAAGUAGCUCUCUUCGGGGAGUGUUAUAGCCCGCUGUGUAAUACCCUUACGGGGAUCGAGGUUCGCGCUCUGCAAGGAUGCUGGCAUAAUGGUCAUCAGUGACCCGUCUUGAAACACGGACCAAGGAGUCGAACAUUUAUGCNNNNNNNNNNNNNNNNNNCCCUCACGCGUAAUGAAAGUGAACGGAGGUGAGAGCCCUUAAGGGUGCAUCAUCGACCGAUCCUGAAGUCUUCGGAUGGAUUUGAGUAAGAGCAUAACUGUUCGGACCCGAAAGAUGGUGAACUAUGCGUGGAUAGGGUGAAGCCAGAGGAAACUCUGGUGGAGGCUCGCAGCGGUUCUGACGUGCAAAUCGAUCGUCAAAUCUGCGCAUGGGGGCGAAAGACUAAUCGAACCAUUAACGGAGAGACCAGCGGUAAAUAAUUAUUUACUAGGUGGUUAAUAGGCUUCUUGCGAGAGGAAGCCUAGGUCGGACUUACCCGGGAUGAACCGGGUAACCCUUACCCCGGGACCUACCCGGUAGCUCCCUACCCGGGAGUUACCCUGUAGUACCGGGUAGCCGGCCGACACCGCUAAAUUGCGGGGACAUCCUACAGAAGGCUCCAGGCUACCGCCGCGUGCUGAAAAGCGUCCGCGGCACCAAGAAUAGCGCUCUUGGGUAUGGUAAAAACGCCUGGGGUAUCGGACGACCUGCAGCCAACCCCGCCAGCCCUAGAAGGGCCCAGGGGAGAGUUCACUGACUAAACAGCGGUGGGUCUUGCGGCGAGAGCCGUAGGGCUUAAGACAUAGUCGAUCUGGGCCCUGAAAAGGUGACCCUAAAGUAUUAUACUUAGCGGAGCUAGUAGCUGGUUACCGCCGAAGUUUCCCUCAGGAUAGCAGUGUUGUUUUCAGUUUUAUGAGGUAAAGCGAAUGAUUAGGGACUCGGGGGCGCCUUUUAGCCUUCAUCCAUUCUCAAACUUUAAAUAUGUAAGAAGCCCUUGUUACUUAACUGAACGUGGGCAUUCGAAUGAACCAACACUAGUGGGCCAUUUUUGGUAAGCAGAACUGGCGAUGCGGGAUGAACCGAACGCGAGGUUAAGGUGCCAGAGUAGACGCUCAUCAGACACCACAAAAAGGUGUUAGUACAUCUUGACAGCAGGACGGUGGCCAUGGAAGUCGGAAUCCGCUAAAGGACUGUGUAACAACUCACCUGCCGAAUGUACUAGCCCUGAAAAUGGAUGGCGCUCAAGCGUCUCACCCAUACCUCGCCCUUAGGGUAGAAACGAUGCCCUAAGGAGUAGGCGGCCGUGGAGGUCAGUGAC
rnacentral:rRNA from 1 species